rnacentral:rRNA from 1 species
GUCGGUGACCUAACCGUAAGGAAGGAGCCGCCGAAGGUGAAGCCAGUGACUGGGGUGAAGUCGUAACAAGGUAGCCGUAUCGGAAGGUGCGGCUGGAUCACCUCCUUU